rnacentral:rRNA from 1 species
UACAGAGGGUGCAAGCGUUAAUCGGAUUUACUGGGCGUAAAGGGCGCGUAGGUGGUAAAGCAAGUAAGAUGUGAAAGCCCUGGGCUUAACCUGGGAAGUGCAUCUUAAACUGCUUAACUAGAGUAUGGUAGAGGGUAGUGGGAAUUUCCGGUGUAGCGGUGAAAUGCGUAGAGAUCGGAAGGAACGCCAGUGGUGAAGACGACUACCUGGACCAAUACUGACACUGAGGCGCGAAAGCGUGGGGAUCAAACAGG